AGUGAACGCUGGCGGUAGGCCUAACACAUGCAAGUCGAACGGCAGCACAGUAAGAGCUUGCUCUUACGGGUGGCGAGUGGCGGACGGGUGAGGAAUACAUCGGAAUCUACUUUUUCGUGGGGGAUAACGUAGGGAAACUUACGCUAAUACCGCAUACGACCUACGGGUGAAAGCAGGGGAUCUUCGGACCUUGCGCGAUUGAAUGAGCCGAUGUCGAAUUAGCUAGUUGGCGGGGUAAAGGCCCACCAAGGCGACGAUCCGUAGCUGGUCUGAGAGGAUGAUCAGCCACACUGGAACUGAGACACGGUCCAGACUCCUACGGGAGGCAGCAGUGGGGAAUAUUGGACAAUGGGCGCAAGCCUGAUCCAGCCAUACCGCGUGGGUGAAGAAGGCCUUCGGGUUGUAAAGCCCUUUUGUUGGGAAAGAAAAGCAGCAGGUUAAUACCCCGCUGUUCUGACGGUACCCAAAGAAGAAGCACCGGCUAACUUCGU
rnacentral:rRNA from 1 species